CUCAACUUAAAUUCUUAAUUCCAAAUAGAGAAAUAAAAUUUAAACAAUGGACAAGAGGUAUGCAUAACUGGGACAUCUUGGUAAGGCUUGGCUAAUCACUGUCUUGGUUCUUCAAGGUCACCCAAAGAACACCCUAUUGUCUGAAGGGGCUGCUUCUGUUGUGGCUGGAAUCAAAGACUGGGACAACGACAUCUCUGCUUUAACAAGUUCAUGUAAAGAACCACGUACCAUCCAAAGGCCCGGGGAAGAAAUUACAGGUAAAGAACAAGCCCAAGGUGAGAUCCUUAGCCCUGAAAACAUUUCUCCAGGGAGGCAACAGUCAUCAUCAGCCAUCUCACAGAAAUCCCAGCCUAAAGAACAAAGUCUAGUGGAGCAGUGCUUACCAUGGCUGCAGGAAACCAGGACACUAGAGAGUCACUGCCCUUGGUGGGGUCCUGGAAAACAGGAAUUUUCCCACUUUGCAAAGAGAGAAGUCACAGAGAGAGGAUGGACCUUCAUCUCCAGUGAAAAAUUAAACUGCCCAGAGUUUCCUAUUGAAUAAAUUUCCAGAGAUCCAUCAAGGUACCCUGGGUAACUCUUGACAUGGCAAAUCAAAAGAGAAAACAGGUGUUAAGUUCCAUUCCAAUACUGGGGCUUUAUUGUCUGCCUUAAUCAAUUAUCUAGGACGUGUGUGUGUGUGUGUGUGUGUGUGUGUGUGUGUGUGUGUGUGUGUGUGUGUAGAAACAGGAGUUGAUGAGAAUGUCCCCCAAACCAAAUGCACUCUUGUUUCAGCUCUAGCCUUGAAGACUGCCCUGCACAUGGCCUAGUAGCAAGGCAUGGCAUUGGAAGUCCUCACUUAAAAGCUGGAGGGCAUUUCUAAGCCAGGGCUUACUUCUCC
rnacentral:lncRNA from 1 species